rnacentral:misc_RNA from 1 species
GAUGAAGAACGUAGCGAAAUGCGAUAAGUAAUGCGAAUUGCAGAAUUUCCGUGAGUCAUCGAAUCUUUGAACGCACAUUGCGCCCGCCAGUAUUCUGGCGGGCAUGCCUGUUCGAGCGUCAUUUCAACCAUCAAGCCCCCGGGCUUGUGUUGGGGACCUGCGGCUGCCCGCAGGCCCUGAAAACCAGUGGCGGGCUCGCUGUCACACCGAGCGUAGUAGCAUCAUCUCGCUCAGGGCGUGCUGCGGGUUCCGGCCGUUAAAAAGCCUCUAAUACCCAAGGUUGACCUCGGAUCAGGUAGGAAGACCCGCUGAACUUAAGCAUAUCAAUAAGCGGAGGA